UGGGGAAUUUUGGACAAUGGGGGCAACCCUGAUCCAGCCAUGCCGCGUGAGUGAAGAAGGCCUUCGGGUUGUAAAGCUCUUUUGUCAGGGAAGAAACGGGUGCGGCUAAUAUCUGCAUCUAAUGACGGUACCUGAAGAAUAAGCACCGGCUAACUACGUGCCAGCAGCCGCGGUAAUACGUAGGGUGCAAGCGUUAAUCGGAAUUACUGGGCGUAAAGCGUGCGCAGGCGGUUUUGUAAGUCUGUUGUGAAAUCCCCGGGCUUAACCUGGGAAUGGCAAUGGAGACUGCAAGGCUAGAGUUUGGCAGAGGGGGGUAGAAUUCCACGUGUAGCAGUGAAAUGCGUAGAGAUGUGGAGGAACACCGAUGGCGAAGGCAGCCCCCUGGGUCAAAACUGACGCUCAUGCACGAAAGCGUGGGGAGCAAAC
rnacentral:rRNA from 1 species